rnacentral:rRNA from 1 species
UUCACAUGCCGUACCGCCUUUGCAAUACCCGAUCCCGUCAGACCUUGGAAGCUAAGCAGGGAAGGGCCUGGUCGGUACUUGGAUGGGAGACCGUUUGGGAACACCAGGAAGCCUGGGGUG